AGCUUAAACCCAUUAACAGCCUGACUCUUGACCAACAGGAGUGCUUGAUCCUUGUCCUCUCCGGACCACCCUUCUGGGUGUCUGCACAUUCCUUGGUGGUCUCUGCUUUUCUCUAGAGACAGUCCACCUUCCCUUGAACAUCUCACAACAUCUUCCAGUGCUUUCACCAGCUCUAAGAUUGUUUUACUUGUUUUUGAAGAUGGAGCCCAAACUGAUGGUUGUUUUAAGGUCUCAGCAGUACUCAGUGCAAAACCAUACAAGAAGAGGUAGUGCGUGCUGUGAAGGCUGUGACUGAAUGACACAAAAGGAAACCCUCAGCCACAAACAAGGUAAGACCAGCCAAGCCUUUAACACUGCUGUGAGGGCAGGUGGGACAGCAAAGUAGGGUGAGAGCAACGUGAGAAACACUGCACUUGAAAGACAGGGGACCUACAAGGAGACAUGGGCCACAGCUGACCUGCCCACAACACUUCCCUCCGCUGUGGCUCACAGCAGUCAGUGUCCGUGCUCCUCCCCAGCAGGCUGCAGGCAGACAGCCUGAGGCACGGGCACCCCUGGGGCUCAGCCUGCUCCCAACCCUGCUGGUGGUACAAGACUCUGCUGCCGCACCUCCUCGCCUGUCCCCAGGACUCACUGGGGAAGAGCAGCUGAGGUCAGCAGAGCACAAGGCGAGCCAUGCAGUGCCCAGCCCAGCCUUAUAUCUGACAGCACAGGAGGCUGAAGUCCUGUGUGGCAGUGCUCAGCCCGUAUUCAGGGGCUCCUGAGCUGCAUGCUGCUCCUGUAUAUGUUUUCCACCACAGCCUGAGUGCCAUUUGACAUUCUGCUGGGUUAUCAUUAAUGAGAUUAAAAUGUUACUGUCAACUGCACGUUUUCUUUCGUAAUCUGAGGGAGCCUGAACAAGGUGCAGCUGCACAGUGUGGCUCAGUAACAUUUGCAGCAUAGCCCAGCAGUUUGCCUUCAUUGUUAUUCAAAAUUAACAUUCUGUCACCAAGAACUCUUCUCCCUUAAAGCAAGUGAAAAAGGUUUGUGAGUCGCGUGAGUAUAACCACACCCCUCAAGAAGUUUUCAUAUUUCAUGUUUUCACUUUCAUAUUUCAGGACAGAGGGAUGUCGGGGCAGACAUCGGGCAGCUCGGCCUCCAGUCCCCUCCAUUUCAGCAUGGCAGGGCUCUCCUGGGCAGCCCAGCUAGGAGAAAUGCCACGUCUACCAGCUGUGUUGUGUCCGCUGCAGAGGAACAGGCAGCUCUGCCCUGAAAGCAUCACACCCCACCAACAUCUGACAAGUUCCUUCACAGCACCAGGUUCCACUUGCUAUUCUCUCUACGCUAUCAAAACUAUUUAAUAUCGUUCUAACAUAUGCAUAAGAUUGCUAUCUGAUGCCCCUGCAAUUCGAAGGAAAAAAUGAUGUGUUCCAUUAACUUGAAAUGUAAUGGGAUAGUUAAGUUCUCAGUGGAGAACGUGGGUUGAGCAGAGAGACAGAACCCAAGUGUCACAUCUCCCAGGCUGCUGUUAGUCCUGAUGCACAGAGCGCUUCACAACAGGUCUCCCCCAGUUCCUGACCCCUGGAGCUGCCCCAUGCUGUGUCAACUAUUUCUUCAGUGGGGCACGCUCUCAUGUGGCACUCACAUGGGAGAUGUGACACACGGCUCCUGUCCUGCUCCAAUACUGGGUACUGCAGGGCUCCUUCAGCGGCUGCCACCAGGAGGUUUGACUAUAUGGGUUAUGCAGAAGGGGCCGUGGCAAAGCACCGCGCACCUGGGGAAGGCCGUGAGCAGAUGGCUGCCGGGGCUCACUGCUCAGGUGCGUGCCACACUGACACGUUAGCUGUGGGAGGGUGACAGCAUGACACGACAGGCAGCAGCUCCCUGGCAUCCCGUUCCCACGCAGCUCCCAGCUGGCACGGGGCAGCCCCGGGCUGGUUCCGCCCAGCACUGCCGCUGCUGCUCCAGCGGCCGGAGCUGCCCGGUUCCAUCGCGGCCGCCGGCUGCCACCCACCACCACCCAGCGCACACAAUAGCGGCAGCCCGGGGCUCCGCUGGCCGCAGCUCCUUGGGGAUGCGGAGUCCCAGGCACGCCAGGCCCUUUAUUAGCUUUGCUUUCUCCCCAGAAUUUGAAACUUCCAAACGUUUGCCUCGGCAAAAAGAAAAAAAAAAAAGUUUUAAUUUGUUAAUUAAAUCAGUUUGGUUGGUUCGCUGCUCCACAGCUUGCUGUAGGCUGCGCGGCUGCUCUGCCCCUACUGCCACAGCCGGCAGCGGGACGCCGCUCGCCUCGGAGCGCCCGCAUCCCCGCGCACGUUCCCGGCGGAACGCGGCCCGACAGCGCCAGCGGCGCGGACGCUCAGCACAGCUGUUCAACAACUGAACCGCGCCGCCGCGAACCCCGGCCAGCGCCGUCGGGACGCGGAGCUGCAGCGGCCGCUUCUAAAGUUGAAAUGAUUCUGUUUUCUCUGGCAAUGAUUCCUCCGUCUGUAACUACAGCAAAAGUUCCAGGUAAGCGCUAAGCAUUAUCCUGUCCUUAAGCGGUUCCCUGUGUGCUCUUAGAGUGCUCCCGUGGGGUUUAAAGUACUGUAUCACCAUUCAUUCAUUCUUCUUCUUCAAAGGAAGAUGAAGAAAAUAAAAUACAGAUGAACUCAUUCUCUUGUAGCCUGCUUGUUCUAAACGUUAAAGCCCAUGCGUAGUUCUCUGCUCAAUGGGAGCUCCAUUGCUAGGCUGGCAUCAUGUCUUGUGCAGGAAAACUGUCCCACAGUGUGCUUUAAGUCUUUGCAGGAUAAAUCCCCCUGGUGCAAGUGGGAUGUGGGGGAAGGUAAUCAUAAAAACAUAAAGAGUGCUGCUGGAAAGGCGGGGCACUGAAAUACACACCUGAUCUGCUGGCUGUCACAUUGGGUUACAUGAGCUGUGCGUUGGCUCUGGAGCUCAGUGUCAGGAGCAGGGCUGUGUUCCUGUAGCAACAGUCCACCUAUAAGGCUGUCUAAUUUUGUGAUGGUGGUAAUGCUUAGCACAUGCAUAGCCCAGUCUUGUGAAAGACUAGUCCCUGAAAAACAACAACACCAACAGCAAAACCACAAGUUUUCAGCAUCUUCAAGUAGUACACAGUAAAUCACAGCUCAAGGCAGAAGGACUGCUGAAGAAACAGCUCUUUGUGGGAACUGGAGGCAAAGAUGUAGGGGGCAAAGGAACCUAUUGGGGUAAAUGUUCCCAUUUGGUGCUUGGUCAGUAUGUUCACUUAGUGCUUACCAAAAAAGUUUUCUGCAGCCUUAUGCUCAGAGUGUGAAAACUCUAUUUCUCCAUCUUGUUUAUUGUCCUAUUCCAUUGUUUAUGGUUGUUACCUCUGUGUUCAUGGACGGUUAUUUCUUUGUCCUAAAAUAAAAAUCAUAUACUGGACUACAA